rnacentral:sRNA from 22 species
UGUAUUCCUUAUCUGUUAUCUGUUUCUAAUGAUUGUUUUGGAGCCUACCUUCCCGUCAUACCCUUUGACGUUCAGCCGGUCAUGACUGGAAGAUAGGCCCUCACUGUUGUUGCCGCUAGUGCCCUCAGU